rnacentral:rRNA from 1 species
GUGGGGAAUCUUCCGCAAUGGACGAAAGUCUGACGGAGCAACGCCGCGUGAGUGAUGAAGGUCUUCGGAUUGUAAAGCUCUGUUAAUCGGGACGAAAGAGCCUAGUGUGAAUAAUGCUAGGAAGUGACGGUACCGGAAUAGAAAGCCACGGCUAACUACGUGCCAGCAGCCGCGGUAAUACGUAGGUGGCAAGCGUUGUCCGGAAUUAUUGGGCGUAAAGCGCGCGCAGGCGGAUCUGCCAGUCUGUCUUAAAAGUUCGGGGCUUAACCCCGUGAUGGGAUGGAAACUACAGAUCUAGAGUAUCGGAGAGGAAAGUGGAAUUCCUAGUGUAGCGGUGAAAUGCGUAGAUAUUAGGAAGAACACCAGUGGCGAAGGCGACUUUCUGGACUGUAACUGACGCUGAGGCUCGAAAGCCAGGGGAGCGAACGGGAUUAGAAACCCGGGUAGUCC